rnacentral:rRNA from 1 species
GACGAACGCUGGCGGCGUGCUUAACACAUGCAAGUCGAACGGAAAGGCCCUGCUUUUGUGGGGUGCUCGAGUGGCGAACGGGUGAGUAGCACGUGAGUAACCUGCCCUUGACUUUGGGAUAACUUCAGGAAACUGGGGCUAAUACCGGAUAGGAGCUCCUGCUGCAUGGUGGGGGUUGGAAAGUUUCGGCGGUUGGGGAUGGACUCGCGGCUUAUCAGCUUGUUGGUGGGGUAGUGGCUUACCAAGGCUUUGACGGGUAGCCGGCCUGAGAGGGUGACCGGCCACAUUGGGACUGAGAUACGGCCCAGACUCCUACGGGAGGCAGCAGUGGGGAAUAUUGCACAAUGGGCGGAAGCCUGAUGCAGCAACGCCGCGUGCGGGAUGACGGCCUUCGGGUUGAAAACCGCUUUCGCCUGUGACGAAGCGUGAGUGACGGUAAUGGGUAAAGAAGCACCGGCUAACUACGUG